UACGGAGGGGGUUAGCGUUGUUCGGAAUGACUGGGCGUAAAGCGCGCGUAGGCGGGCUGGAAAGUCAGGGGUGAAAUCCCGGGGCUCAACCCUGGAAUGGCCUUUGAAACUCCCAGCCUUGGGUUCGAGAGAGGUGAGUGGAAUUCCGAGUGUAGAGGUGAAAUUCGUAGAUAUUCGGAGGAACACCAGUGGCGAAGGCGGCUCACUGGCUCGACACUGACGCUGAGGUGCGAAAGCGUGGGGAGCAAACAGG
rnacentral:rRNA from 1 species